CCUGUAGCUCAGUUGGAUAGAGCAACGGCCUUCUAAGCCGUGGGUCGGGGGUUCGAGCCCCUCCAGG
rnacentral:tRNA from 2 species